AGUCGAGGGGUAACAGAGGUAGCUUGCUACUUGCUGACGACCGGCGCACGGGUGCGUAACGCGUGUAGAAUCUACCUUGUACUAGGGGAUAGCCUUUGGAAACGAAGAUUAAUACCCUAUAGUAAGUAUUUAUGGUAUCAUUUAUACUUUAAAGGUUACGGUACAGGAUGACUAUGCGUCCUAUUAGUUUGUUGGUGAGGUAACGGCUCACCAAGACUUCGAUAGGUAGGGGCCCUGAGAGGGGGAUCCCCCACACUGGUACUGAGACACGGACCAGACUCCUACGGGAGGCAGCAGUGAGGAAUAUCGGACAAUGGAGGCAACUCUGAUCCAGCCAUGCCGCGUGCAGGAUGACGGCCCUAUGGGUUGUAAACUGCUUUUAUGUAGGAAGAAACACUCUCACGUGUGAGAGCUUGACAGUACUACAAGAAUAAGGACCGGCUAACUCCGUGCCAGCAGCCGCGGUAAUACGGAGGGUCCAAGCGUUAUCCGGAAUCAUUGGGUUUAAAGGGUCCGUAGGCGGGCUAUUAAGUCAGAGGUGAAAGUUUGCAGCUCAACUGUAAAAUUGCCUUUGAAACUGGUAGUCUUGAAUUAUUAUGAAGUGGUUAGAAUAAGUAGUGUAGCGGUGAAAUGCAUAGAUAUUACUUAGAAUACCAAUUGCGAAGGCAGAUCACUAAUAAUAUAUUGACGCUGAGGGACGAAAGCGUGGGGAGCGAACAGGAUUAGAUACCCUGGUAGUCCACGCCGUAAACGAUGGAUACUAGCUGUUCGGAUUUAUCUGAGUGGCUAAGCGAAAGUGAUAAGUAUCCCACCUGGGGAGUACGUUCGCAAGAAUGAAACUCAAGGAAUUGA
rnacentral:rRNA from 1 species